GACGAACGCUGGCGGCGUGCUUAACACAUGCAAGUCGAACGGAAAGGCCCUGCUUUUGUGGGGUGCUCGAGUGGCGAACGGGUGAGUAACACGUGAGUAACCUGCCCUUUACUUUGGGAUAACUUCAGGAAACUGGGGCAAAUACCGGAUAGGAGCUCCUGCUGCAUGAUGGGGGUUGGAAAGUUUCGGCGGUUGGGGAUGGACUCUCGGCUUAUCAGCUUGUUGGUGGGGUAGUGGCUUACCCAGGCUUUGACUGGUAGCCGGCCUGGGAGGGUGACCGGCCACAUUGGGACUGAGGUACGGCCCAGACUCCUACUGGGGGCAGCAGUGGGGAAUAUUGCACAAUGGGCGGAAGCCUGAGGCAGCAACGCCGCGUGCGGGAUGACGGCCUUCGGGUUGUAAACCGCGUUCGCCUGUGACGAAGCGUGAGUGACGGUAAUGGGUAAAGAAGCACCGGCUAACUACGUG
rnacentral:rRNA from 1 species